AAACGUAUGUUUGCAGCUGGUAUGGCAUAUGUGGGAUUAAGUCGUACAACUUCUUUGGAAGGGCUUAAAAUCAUCGAUUUUGAUGAGAAAAAGAUCUACGCUGAUGAAAGAAUCACAGCAGCCAUGGAUACGAUGAGGCGAGCAUCGUUCUCCAACACCAGCCCCCUCCUGCAUUUCCCAUCAAGUCCUCUGCGCACUACAUUGAAAAUCAUCCACCACAACAUUGAAGGUCUUGUAUGUCACUAUGACGACAUGAAGCACCAUCAUGAACUGGGAUUGGCCGAUAUUCUCUGUCUUACAGAAAGUCAUUUGUUUGGAUCUUCUUAUCCAGCUUCUUUGCAAAUGGAGGGUUAUUGUUUGUUUGCACGCAACAGACACGUCUCCUACUCUAGCAGAGCCGACAUUGCUACCAAGGAAGGGGGGGGAGUAGCAACUUACUGCAGGAGCAUUCUCCAACCUGAGGAACGCAGAUACUUUCACAAUGUUACAGAUCUUGAGUACAAUGUCAUUAGAUUGGACGCUCCGAUAUCAGUCCUUGUUGCCACGGUUUACAGGCCACCCAGUUAUGAUCUUGCCAGCUUCUUGAAAAACAUUCAGAGCUUCUUGGAUGGUCUUUAUUCUAUUGAUAUUCAGCCCGUUGUUGUAUUGGGAGACUUCAAUGAGGAUCUUCUCUCUCCAGGAAAAAAAGCAAUCAAGGACUUGUUUGAAAGCAAAGGAUUCACUCAGCUUAUCUCAUCUCCAACAACAAAAAAGCACACCCUGAUUGAUCACAUUUACAUAUCUCGCCCAGAAUAUUGUGUCCAGUCAGGUGUGUUGCAGACAUAUUACAGUUACCACAACCCGGUAUACUGUAUUUUGUCUUCUUUCUCAGCUGCUGCCUCUCCUUCACUUUUUGACAUGUAACAUGCGAUUGGGCAGGACUGUGUUGCUUUGUUCUUGAUUUAAUAGUCGCCAAUCGCAUAGCACAGCUGACUGUUACAACCCUCUUAAUAAUUUCUGAGUCUAACCAUGAGCCUACACUUUCUGCAAAGAAAUGACUGCUCUGAAUAUGUUUUAUGGCACAAUUUGUUUUUCUUUCUUACCAGUGCUCCCAUUAGACUUUCCUUUGGUGGUGGUGGUUGUUAUUGAUCAUGAGCCACUACUUGUACAGAAUGUACAAGUAGUAGUCUGGAACCGUGUUCCAGAAUGGCCAUUUUUGGCUACAUUUUAAAUCUGGGAAUGCGUAAUUAUUUUAUUUUUACUUGCCACCCUGUGCAUGCUUCAUUCUCUUCCCCUGUCUCUGCUUUCCACGCUGUGCAUGCUUCAGCCUCUUGUUGCUAUCUCUGCUACCGCCCUGUGCCUGCUUGGAAAUGAUGUUGCACCUGAAGUUUACAGCUUUGUAUGUCAGGUUUUGAGUGGCAUUAACCCCUUUUUUCCCCAAGUUUUUCUCUGUUUUGCAGGUUAUGCAAUGUGACACACAUAAGUUUGUGCUUGAAGAACGUCAAAAUUAACCUGGUAGACCUGGAAGGCAACCCACCAUUAGCAGCAAGGUGAUAUUAAGUACUGAGGUGUGUCAGGAGGACGUCUGUCUCAAUAUUCAAUGCUUUGAUGUAGAAUUUGCACUGAACUGAGUAUUGCCGUGGACUGAAGGAGUAACCAGAUAGCCCUGUGAUUGGUCAUAGUCUUCAGUUGGACUUGUCAACCCACGCUGUAGACAAGAAGCAGUUUGGAAGGAAGACGCCAGAGAACUGAUUUUUUUUUUCUUUUCUUUUUCACUUUGCAACAAAGGAGCAGUUGCCACGUGCUCAAAAUGUCCUGACAGCUUUUUGCCGUACUAACAUACAGACUCUUUUUAUUUCAUGAAAGUUUUUGAUUUUUCUCUUUUCCACUGACUUCCAUUGUCAUGUUGGAUUUUAUGUUAUACUGUGAUGUUGCAUUAAGUUGAUUGUUAUAGUUUUAUGAUUAAGAAUGGAAACUCUCUACUACAGACACACACCAAGAUCUACAGUUCUCGCAAUCUUUUUGCUUUAUGUAGACAACCAGGUUCUGAUGAGUAUCACAGAACCAUAAAUUACUCAGUAACGCUAAUUUUUAGAUUCAAUACAGGGUGUCUUCUCGCUCAGAUUGGCCCACAGCGGGAUUCCCCUUGACUUGGCUGCAUUAGUUUUUUUUACCAUUUCUUAGACGAGGUGGUGUUUUUCUGGUGGAGACCCAGCCUGAAUUGGCAUAUCUUACAGACAAUGCCCAUUACACAUGAUAUAUGUAUUUUAGUUCACUUUGUUUGAUUUCUCAUUGUCCUACAGCAUGUUAUAGUUGUAAUUUUAACAAUUAUUGCCUGUUUAAAGUUGGUUCUGUUUUUUUAGUUAAUAAAUAUGUUUAUUGUCAGCAUA